rnacentral:rRNA from 1 species
GAUGAACGCUGGCGGCGUGCCUAACACAUGCAAGUCGAGCGAUCUCUUCGGAGAGAGCGGCGGACGGGUGAGUAACGCGUGGGUAACCUGCCCUGUACACACGGAUAACAUACCGAAAGGUAUGCUAAUACGGGAUAAUAUAUAAAAGUCGCAUGGCUUUUAUAUCAAAGCUUUUGCGGUACAGGAUGGACCCGCGUCUGAUUAGCUAGUUGGUAAGGUAACGGCUUACCAAGGCAACGAUCAGUAGCCGACCUGAGAGGGUGAUCGGCCACACUGGAACUGAGGCACGGUCCAGACUCCUACGGGAGGCAGCAGUGGGGAAUAUUGCACAAUGGGCGAAAGCCUGAUGCAGCAACGCCGCGUGAGCGAUGAAGGCCUUCGGGUCGUAAAGCUCUGUCCUCAAGGAAGAUAAUGACGGUACUUGAGGAGGAGGCCCCGGCUAACUACGUGCCAGCCGCCGCCGUAACAC